GGCCUGAAGAGAUAUAAGGAGGGGGAUAUCCGGAGUCGCCCCACAAUGCUCCCCCCGCGGGCUCCUCCGACCCGGAGCCCUCUUGGGGCGGAUCUGGGGGCGGAGGCGGGCCACGAUAGGCUUGAAGGGAGGGAUAUAGGGGCGGAAACUUCCGCGAGGGUGGGGCUGUCCUAGAGGCGGUGGCGGAAAGCAAGGAAGCAGGGGUUCGGCGAGGCCCUGCCCUACAGGGCUUGGCAGGGGCCCCUGAGCAGCGUCCUUCACUGGAUCCCCCGUUCUCUGGCCGCACGUUGGGCGCCACUUGUCCCGGCCCGCGGGAUCUUCUCCAUCCACCUAAAUCCUCAGAGCCCUGCAGUGACCUCCCCACUGGGCCAGGUGAUGUGGUGAAAGAGUGCAUGUAGAGAAAGCACCACUGUGAUCUACAGCUUCAGCCCAGAAGCCACAUGCAUCACCGACAUCUACUGGUAAGAAGUCAUCUGGCCAUGCCUGGCUGACAGCAAUAAGUCUGCAAAAUAGAUAACAUGGAUUCUGCUGAACACUGUGAAUACUAUGCAUAUAAAUGGCUUUUUGAGUUGAGUGGAAGCAAACAGACAAAGUCAAGCUCUGGG
rnacentral:lncRNA from 1 species